rnacentral:rRNA from 1 species
GUGGUUUAAUUCGAUGAUACGCGAGGAACCUUACCUGGGCUUAAAUGCAGAACGACAGACUGGGAAACCGGUUUUUCUUCGGACGUUUUGCAAGGUGCUGCAUGGUUGUCGUCAGCUCGUGCCGUGAGGUGUCGGGUUAAGUCCCAUAACGAGCGCAACCCCUAUUCUUAGUUGCCAGCGGUUCGGCCGGGGACUCUAAGAAAACUGCCCGCGCAAGCGGUGAGGAAGGUGGGGAUGACGUCAAAUCAUCACGGCCCUUACGUCCAGGGCCACACACGUGCUACAAUGGUGUUGACAGAGGGCAGCUAUACUGCGAAGUAAUGCUAAUCCCAAAACAACAUCUCAGUUCGGAUUGGAGUCUGCAACUCGACUCCAUGAAGCUGGAAUCGCUAGUAAUCGCGUAUCAGCCAUGACGCGGUGAAUACGUUCCCGGGCCUUGUACACACCGCCCGUCACACCAUGGAAGCUGGUCACACCCAAAGUCGUUAUUCUAACCGUUUGGAGGAAGGCGCCUAAGGUAGGAUUGGUGACUGGGGUGAAGUCGUAACAAGGUAGCCGUACCGGAAG